UCACACAGAGAGAUAGCCCUUUCAUAAGUUCAUAAGUUGUAGGAGCAGAAUUAGGCCAUUCGGCCCAUCAAAUCUACUCCACCAUUCGAUCAUGAAUGAUCUAUCCAUCCUUCUCAGCCCCAUUCACCUGCCUUCUCCCCAUAACCCCUGAC